GCACAGAGGAUUAUCUCUCUCUCCGAAACAGACAUGCCUUCAAAUGUGCCACGGAUGCAUUGGAGAUGUUGGUUUGGAUGUUGCACAAGCGUGCCUGUGCAAUAAGAAAACAAGUGAUGGGGCUGGCAUCCUGGUCGUGCUUCCGCAUGGGUUCUUCCAGGAGGUUAAAGAUCCACCUCUUAAUCUGAGAAGUGCAACAAGGCUUGCCUAAAAUAGUCUUUGACCAAGA